rnacentral:lncRNA from 1 species
GAGGGUCAAAAGCUUUGUGGCAUCCAGUGCCUUUUGUGGGGAGCUUGGAGUGAAAUCACAGAAAUCUUCCAGAAGACUGGUUCAUUUUUAAUGAGCUAGGACUAUAAUUUGUCUGUUUAAUUCAACCUGAGUGACCUAAUCGCUUCAAUUUGGACUUAUUACCAGCAGAGCAGUCAGUCAGUUGGAAGUAGACCCAGGGCAAGGCAUUUUGUCAUUAUCUUAAAUUUUCUCUAUCUGACAAAUUUGAAGGUCUUGAAGAGACUGAAGCCAUUGUAAAGGAUAGAGCAUAAGAGAAUAGGUCACACAGUGUGUUAAAGAAUGAAAAUUGAUUCAUUCUUUCCUCUGUUGAAUAAGCAGCUGUACUUUCAUCCCUGUGAUCCAUGAAAUAAGCUGUCAGAGAAAUAGGAAAUGUGCCACAUUUGAACUUCACUCAUUGAUUCUGUUCUGAUCCAAGGUGUAGUAUUAAAAUGCAGUAUGGUUGAUGAAGAAUCUGCAGCAGUGACAACAGCCAGGCCCAGCUUACUUAUCAGUUGUCUGGGCUAUUUGUAAUUAAAUUAUUCAGUGCUUUACAAUGCUGUGACUCAUUUACUUAAGUCGUGGUCAGGAGAAAUUUCACAAAACCAACAUUUGUUAGUUUUAAAUAAAACCAAAGGCUGCAGAAAAGGCUCACCGUUCUAUAAUUGUAUCCCCUUUAAUCACGCCUAAUAAUUUGCAGACAAUUCAGAAAAAUCUACUGUAGUCAGUGUAAGAAUGGAUAGCAGAGAAUUCUAGAAUUUGGGAUUUUAUCUGGAGCAUGUCAGGCCAAUUAAUGCCUGUAAUUUAGACCUAGCUGUGAAAUUAAAUGGAGGACAUUCCCAUUAUUCCCUAAAAUCGAUGCCUGGUUUCAUUUCUUGUAACAGAACAUACCUUCCUUUACAUACCUAUCUCCAAGUAAAAAAUUUAACCUUGUUAUGCUGUUCUCAAGUAGGAUCCAGAGGACUGCCUGCAACUGUGACUGACUGUGUUAAGUCUGUUUUAUCCACACUGAAGUCUUUUCUUUCUUUGAAUUUUCUGUUUGAGAUGAAUAAUGGUUUGAAUAUGGUAUGUGAUGGCUCUGUAGACUCCAAAGAUAUAACUUGAACAAAUACAUUGUUCUGGAGAGCUGGUAUAACAACACUGCUUAAAAUUUAGACACAUUCCAACUACCAAACAGGCAGGAGCAGGACCAUCCUGGCCUGCGGGAUCUAUAUGCAAUGCAAGAAUGGGCAAACAUUUGUGCAGCAAGGAGGCUGUGAAAAGGUGAAGGAGGCUUGCAGAAGGGGAGGAGAAGGAGCAUGCUAAAGCAAGCAGCAUGCCGUUCGCCUCGACUCAGCACAUUGGGGUCUUGCACUCCUGAGGUCUGGGAUACCAGCAGCUGUGUCCUUCUGGUGUUGUCCUAUGCCUUGCAGAGGAGUGAAGAGAACUUCCAGAGGUUAUCCAGCUCUGCUUUUCCUCAGUAUAUCCUCAGCCAUCACAUGGAGAUGUGUUUUCUGCAAGACUUUGUAUGUGUUCUGUAACAUCAGGUUGUUGUGUUGAACCUGUUGUGUUGAACAUUUCUGCACACAGAUCAGAAUCUGGCCUGGGUCACUGGUCCUGUGCAUAGACAAUUUUGUUAGGGUGAUGGUCCCUGGUGACUUAACUGAGCAAGCACUGUACACACCAGAGAACCCACUUGAAACAGCUACUCGUUUUGCAGUCCCUGUGCUUGAAGAUUAACAUCCUUCCCAAAACCUGCCUCAGUCCCAGAGCAACAGGCUCUGUCCUGUCCUCCAGCCUCUCCAUCACUCAUUUACUGCAACGAUUGGCUUCAGCCUUCGAUUUCCUCUGUGGAGCAUAUUGGAAAGAGACAGGCUGAGUUGUGAACAUUAAUAACAAUGAAUAAUAACAGCACAAGUUCCACAAGCUUUAACAAUCAAAUGAAUCAACAGUCAGAAGGAUUUAAUUAAUAAAUACCUGCAGGAGUUAGAUGACA